AGGGGUAGCAGGAGAACAGAAAAAGCAGGAUGUGUUAGUGAAAUGCAGUGAUUGAUUCUGUUGUGAUGAGAAGAAAGUGUUAAACAGAAGAAAAGGAAAAUUUAGGACAGAUGGCGGACUGGACUCUCCGGUUCACCUGAGGCAAUACAAGUUCUGACACACCUUGCGCAGGUCCUCUGGAAUGUGGCAUAGAUAAGGAACUUGUAGUCUGUACAAAUAUGUAUGAGUGCAACUACUGAUGGAGAGGAAGAAAGAGUACAGAAGAAAGAGACGAUAGAUCAAGACUUGAAUAUCACUGAAACGAAACUGGACAAACCUUCCUUCAUUGAAGGAGAGAGAUCAAACUGAGGGGUGAAUUCAAGACACUGCUUUUUACACUUGAUCAGAAUGCCAGAGUCACGUCAGGACAAUCUAAAUCGGGGGGAAGAGGUUCCACUGAAUCAUGUACCAGGAACAGGUGUCAAACAAUCUGAUGACAAAUGCAAUGAAGUCAUCUGCAUCAGUGAGGGUCCUACUGUGUCCUGCUGCAAUGACAAGUACCACAGAAAGCUGGCCAUCGCUAGCAUUGUCUGUGGAUUCUCCUGCUGCGGAGUUCCAGCUUUGGUUUAUUCUGUCAAGGCUGAGGAUGCUGACAAAGCUGGGAAGGCUGAGCAGACGACAGACAAGAGAGCUGCAAAGUAUUUAAGACAAGCCAGAAAAUGGGGCCACACCUCCAUCGCGAUGUGGGUUUGCCUCCUGGUAUCAGCACCAAUGAUGCUGGCACUGGUCUCAUAUCUCUUCACUUUAGGUGACUGAUCAGCCUCAAUGGACCACAACCAGGGGGGAGUCUCUGCUCAUUUUGGAUGUUUAUGAAGAUGGGGAGCAGAGCGCACAAAGCUGCUGAGCGAACAACUAUAAGUACCAAUGCUGUGGAGAAACUAAAUGUUACAAAAAACAGAAAAAGACUGUGUUGUGCUGAAAGAGCUGCUGCCCUCAUUUACAUUUUGUCUAGUUCCUUAAAUUUUUAUACAAAGAGCAAAUACAGCUGAAAAUGGUAUUAAAUAUUUGACAACUCUUGUUGUUAAAUGCUGCAAUAUUUAUUUAACAAUGUGAGAACAAUAAACAUAUGCACAUAUACAUUAUAUAUUUAAGACUAAAGCUGUUAUUCUCCAGCUUUAGCCUUGGAUCCUGCUCUUACCACGUUACCUUGGGAUUAUUGCACUGUUAUGGUUUUUGCUUUAUUAAUGUCAAAUGUAUGUAUAUGUUGUCCUUUUAUACAAAUGUUAACACAAACAGUUUUUUAAUAAAAUUUUUAAUUUUU